UGGGAUCGUAUUGGUGACUUUAUUGUACAACAGACAUUUGGUGGUGAACGGAUUACAGUAUUCAUAAUGACCAUGUCGAUCGCAACGGAACCAAGUUCGAGUGAGACCAUCACUUCCAGAGUUAGUAUUGUCAUAGGCGAGAAAGAUUAUGCAGAUGAAAAGUCAAGGUCUUCAGCCUCUUUGAAUUUCUACAACAGAAAUCCUGGCACCCAACCAUUGACAGGGGGAGAGAAUAUUGAAAGAAACUAUUCCUCAUCCCCCAAUUAUCUUCCUUUAGCCUGCUUUGCUUUAAUGCUAAAUCCGAUACUGGGAAUUCCUGCUUUAAUCUGUAGUUACCUUUCCAAAAAAUACAGGCGUCUAGGUAGUUCUGCCAGAUCCUCUAAAUACAGCGGACUUGCACUGUGGCUGAGUAUCGUUGCCAUAGCCACAGCUAUUGUUUUCAUCGUGUUUGUGUGUGUAUAUAUAUUUGUCAUAACACCCAACAUCAUUCGCAGCAUCCAAGGGUUUUCUUUAGACAAUGAAAAUAUGGAUCUCGCAUUGGAAGUUUCAAGUAUAACAUCGAUUCAAUCGCUUUAAGCAUUGGCUCCAACUAAAAUGUGUUUUUACCAAAGACUUGAAAGCUGAAGCUUUCCAUGAUGGUAGUGUACUCUUUGCUUACUACAAUCGUGCCUGGGUGUGCGUAUAUAUUAACAAGAACUCUGGGAUUAAAUAUUGGUACAAACAAAACUUGUAGACCAUGGAUAUGGUGAAGUACAAAUUCUUUGAAAGUUUGGUCUCAAUGAGAACCAAUGCUAAACAAAUAAAGUGCCUGAAACUUGAGAUGAAUUCACAAUGAUUGUUAAUUAAGUUGCUUUGUAACAAGAAACAGCACAAUAAAGUUUGUUUAAAACAUC
rnacentral:sRNA from 1 species